rnacentral:tmRNA from 1 species
GGGGAUGAUCGGUUUCGACACUGUAAUGAUGAGUGAAAGAAGCGGGUCGAGGAUGCACAGUUAUCUCGUAAACGCUCUGUGCAAAACUAUAGGUGCCAAUACAAAGCGCGCCGACUUCGCCCUAGCUGCAUAAGCUAGCCCCGAAGUCCGUUUGCCUAGGUUUGAUUUCGACCUAGAUCCAAGCGUCAUUUAGAAAUCUUGCUAAUUGGGUGCGUCAAAGGCCUAGUUGGGACUUUUUACUUUGACUGGGCUGGUCGGCGUAGUCGCCUCCGACAAAUUCCGCAGCCAAGUAGAACGCCUCUGGAGGCUACACCCGUAGAAGAGUCAUGAACGCUGCAGUGGACCCGGGUUCGAUUCCCGGCAUCUCCACAA